GACGAACGCUGGCGGCGUGCUUAACACAUGCAAGUCGAACGGAAAGGCCCUGCUUUUGUGGGGUGCUCGAGUGGCGAACGGGUGAGUAACACGUGAGUAGCCUGCCCUUGACUUUGGGAUAACUUAAGGAAACUGGGGCUAAUACCGGAUAGGAGCUCCUGCUGCAUGGUGGGGGUUGGAAAGUUUCGGCGGUUGGGGUUGGACUCGCGGCUUAUCAGCUUGUUGGUGGGGUAGUGGCUUACAAAGGCUUUGACGGGUAGCCGGCCUGAGAGGGUGACCGGCCACAUUGGGACUGAGAUACGGCCCAGACUCCUACGGGAGGCAGCAGUGGGGAAUAUUGCACAAUGGGCGGAAGCCUGAUGCAGCAACGCCGCGUGCGGGAUGACGGCCUUCGGGUUGUAAACCGCUUUCGCCUGUGACGAAGCGUGAGUGACGGUAAUGGGUAAAGAAGCACCGGCUAACUACGUG
rnacentral:rRNA from 1 species